rnacentral:rRNA from 1 species
GAGCGCAGUGGGGAUAUUGCACAAUGGGGGAAACCCUGAUGCAGCCAUGCCGCGUGUGUGAAGAAGGCCUUCGGGUUGUAAAGCACUUUCAGUAGGGAGGAAAGGUAAUAGUUUAAUACGCUAUUACUGUGACGUUACCUACAGAAGAAGGACCGGCUAACUCCGUGCCAGCAGCCGCGGUAAUACGGAGGGUCCGAGCGUUAAUCGGAAUUACUGGGCGUAAAGCGUGCGCAGGCGGUUUGUUAAGCGAGAUGUGAAAGCCCCGGGCUCAACCUGGGAAUUGCAUUUCGAACUGGCGAACUAGAGUCUUGUAGAGGGGGGUAGAAUUCCAGGUGUAGCGGUGAAAUGCGUAGAGAUCUGGAGGAAUACCGGUGGCGAAGGCGGCCCCCUGGACAAAGACUGACGCUCAGGCACGAAAGCGUGGGGAGCAAACAGGAUUAGAUACCCUGGUAGUCCACGCCGUAAACGAUGUCUACUCGGAGUUUGGUGUCUUGAACACUGGGCUCUCAAGCUAACGCAUUAAGUAGACCGCCUGGGGAGUACGGCCGCAAGGUUAAAACUCAAAUGAAUUGACGGGGC